CCCUGUCUCGAAACAAACAAACAAACAAACAAACAAACAUCACAAUCGGAUAAGAGAUUUAAAAAGGAAGCCCCGCCUCUCCCUUCUUGUAAACAUAGUUUUCAUGUCGUCAACAAUAUGACAGGAAAGCCCUAAAUAUAAGUGAUUGUGGUAGGUAAGAAGUUCUCUGAAUUAUGCAGAAACUGAAGUAUCCCAGCGUCCAUUACGUUAGUUAGAUCUAGAAGAUAUCUUCGGAAAGGUACAGCUUUAUUUUCUAUUUAUAAAGUCUUAGAUUUGAUUGCUUUUGCCCCACUAUCGUUACAAGGUUUACAGAUACUAGUCAUGUAGCAUAUAGAGAAAAAGAUCCUGAAAGAGAAUAUAUGCUCAGUGGUUAACAGUAGCUGCAUUUCCAUGAUUAUGAAUAUGAGGAAGAAUUGUUUCUCAACUCCAUUCACCCAUCUUUAACAAAAUGAGUAUGUAUAAAUCUAUAAAGAGAAAAAAAAUUUUUUUUGUUUGUUUGUUUUUUCGAGACAGGGUUUCUCUGUAUAGCGCUGGCUGUCCUGGAGCUCACUUUGUAGACCAGGCUGGCCUCGAACUCAGAAAUCCGUCUGCCUCUGCCUCCUGAGUGCUGGGAUUAAAGGUGUGCGCCACCACGCCCUGCGAGAAAACUUUUUUUAAGGUAUGGCGGUUCAGGUGAGAAUGUUCCCACAUGACCAGAUAUUUGAACUCUUGGUCCCAAGUUGGUGGUGCUCUCUGGGACAAGAGGGUGGGGUGGGACGAGGACGACAGGGUGGGUGGCAGUCCUCCCUCCACUUCCUGUUCUCUCUCCCCUGCUUGUUAUUGACGUGCUGGGGGGGGAGGGUUAGAGGAGGGGGAGCGGUCCUCCCUCCACUUCCUGUUAGUUCUCUCUCCCCUGCUUGCCUUUGGCAAACAGGUUUCUCAGCUUCUCCCUCAGCCACUCUGAUGUCCUGCUGAGAUGCCUUUCCACCACCAUAGGCUCGCAGCCUCUGAAAGCCCGUGGCUUGAUAAUUAACCUGAGGGAAUGACCAAGAUUAGAUUUUUGUGCUCCCAGCAUGUGCCAGUAGUUGGAGGCAGGAGAUGAGUGCCAAAUUAUCCCAAAUUGAAAUUUACAGCACAUAAGUCAGAAGCAGCCAAAUUAAGCCUGGCUUUGGAAACCUUCCAGUCUUAUACGUUGAAGAACCAGAAACAAAAGAAAAAAAGAAAUACAGAUACAAGGCAAAGUUAUGCAUGCUUUUCUCUUAUUUAUCCCCCUUGCUUUGCCAGCAGAAAAGAUUUAGGGUAACUCCAAUCGAAGCUCAGUUGUAUACUUAAAUGGCUUUGGGGAUUUUUUAAAAAUUUCUCUAUAAUUGUUAAAUAGCAAAACAUUUGGAGAGACUCUUGCUAGGUUAAUUAUGCAACCAGUUGGCUUUGUGUAUUUGUAACUAUUAACUCACUCCUGCCCUUAACAAUGGUAUGAAGAUAAAAGUCAGUUUUGGGGUAGAGUCUAUUGUUGUUCCUCAAAGACAUCAGUCACCACCAACACAAUGACGUUGAGAAUGUUGGAAGUGAGGUACAGUUAGCUGAUCAGUUGCCGAUCUGCUCAUCUGGAGAAACGUAAAGCAGGGGCUUAUGGGAUUCCUUCUGGUUCCACAGACCCCAGCUCUGGGUCAUUCUUUAUGAACUGAACUGGACAGAGAUGUGCCACUGAGGUAGAUGUGCGGUUGCUUCUUAUUCAUUUUCCUCUCUUUAAUUGCCUUCAGCAUUUCACUGACCACAUGAUUUAAAAUGGAUAAGAUAUCUAAUGAUGUUUGUGUUUGAAAUCUUGCUGUCUAUCCA
rnacentral:lncRNA from 1 species